AUUGAACGCUGGCGGCAUGCUUUACACAUGCAAGUCGAACGGUAACAGGCCGCAAGGUGCUGACGAGUGGCGAACGGGUGAGUAAUGCAUCGGAACGUGCCCAGUCGUGGGGGAUAACGCAGCGAAAGCUGCGCUAAUACCGCAUACGAUCUAUGGAUGAAAGCGGGGGACCGUAAGGCCUCGCGCGAUUGGAGCGGCCGAUGUCAGAUUAGGGAGUUGGUGGGGUAAAGGCUCACCAAGCCAACGAUCUGUAGCUGGUCGGAGAGGACGACCAGCCACACUGGGACGGGGACACGGCCCAGACUCCUACGGGAGGCAGCAGUGGGGAAUUUUGGACAAUGGGCGCAAGCCUGAUCCAGCAAUGCCGCGUGCAGGAAGAAGGCCUUCGGGUUGUAAACUGCUUUUGUACGGAACGAAACGGUCCUGGUUAAUACCUGGGGCUAAUGACGGUACCGUAAGAAUAAGCACCGGCUAACUACGUGCCAGCCGCCGCGGUAA
rnacentral:rRNA from 1 species